GUUUAAAGAUGACAAAUUCUUUUUGCCAACCAAGUUCAUUAAAUGAGGGUGAAAACAUGUAAAACCUAUCUGAAUUAUGAAUUAUUUUAAAUUUACUGUCCAAACUUGUCCAAACGUUUUAUUUGUUUUAUUUGAGUCGGAUAACGAUACUUUGGUUUUGAAAUUUGAAUAUGUCGUUUUUCUUUUUACUGAUAUAGUUAGUAUGAAUUUAUUAAACUAAGCAAGUAGGUUAAUUUUUAAAUUCAAAGUUUCGUUGACUGACUCAACUCAAGCAAAUUGAAAGGCUAAAUAGUAAAACCAAAUAUUUAAAAGAUCGGAUAGUAAAUCUAAAAUGCU
rnacentral:lncRNA from 1 species